UGAAACCGUCUAGAGGCAAACGGAGAGGACCGUAUGGUCCGCCCGUCGGAUUCAGUCCGCCUGUGCGGCGUCGUCGUCGGUUGCGCAUCCCUCGUGGGAGCGCUCCGGCGUCUGCACGUCGUUCGGUGGCCGUACUUUCGGCGGGCGGAGCGCCACGACCGGUUCGCUGGCGGCGAGAAACUCCCGGGCAAGGUGACCUUCGUCUCGGCGUAGGAGCAUACAGGCUCGGUGAGCGUCGGCCCGCCGGCGGACCGAGGAAGACCGUCGCGGUGCGGCGUCGACCGCCUGUCGUGUGGUUGCGUUCGACUCGGGGGGACUGGUUCCAGUGCCCUCGGACCGCGCGGCCGCAACGGUGGGACGGCCCGGCGUCGUGCCUGGGGUCGGUGGCGAAACGGCCGGCAACCUGUCCGACCCGUCUUGAAACACGGACCAAGGAGUCUAACAUGUGCGCGAGUCGUUGGGCGUUACGAAACCCGAAGGCGCAAUGAAAGUGAAGGCCCGGUCUCCGGCCGGCCUGGGUGGGAUCUCGGCGGUCUCGGCCGUCGGGCGCACCACCGGCCCGUCUCAUUCGCCUCGUCGAAGAGGCGGAGCAAGAGCGUACACGUUGGGACCC
rnacentral:rRNA from 1 species